rnacentral:sRNA from 2 species
ACUGCCAAUCUACCUACCACUGCUAAUCUAUGCCGCUGCCAACCUAUCUAUCACUGCUAAUCUAUCACUGCUGCCAAUCUAUCUACCACUGUCAAUCUAUCUAUCACUGCCAAUCUAUCUACCACUGCUAAUCUAUCGCUGCUAAUCUAUCGCUGCUAAUCUAUUGCUGCUAAUCUAUCUAUCACUGCUAAUCUAUCGCUGCCAACCUACCUACCGCUGCCAACCUAUCUACCACUGCCAAUCUACCUACCGCUGCCAACCUAUCUACCACUGCUAAUCUAUCACUGCUAAUCUAUCGCUGCUAAUCUAUUGCUGCUAAUCUAUCUAUCACUGCUAAUCUAUCGCUGCCAAUCUACCUACCGCUGCCAACCUAUCUACCGCUGCCAACCUACCUACCACUGCUAAUCUAUCACUGCUAAUCUAUCACUGCCAAUCUAUAUAGGGUAAAUCAUGGUCCCAUUUGAUCCCAUUUUGUAAAAUGGGAUCAAAUGGAAUUGGAAUCACUAAUUUAUUAGUAAAACAUGAUCUGGGACUAGAUUUAUAAUAUAAACAGUGUAAAGUGACUAAUUUACUAAACACUAUAUAGAAUCAGAACUAAGAUAUCUAAUAAUAGAACUGAGGAAAAAUUUGAUCUCAGUCCCAUGCAUGGUCACACAGCCA